rnacentral:tRNA from 1 species
GGUCUUGUGGUCUAGUGGUAUGAUUCUCGCUUAGGGUGCGAGAGGUCCCCGAUUCGAUCUCGGGCAAGACCC